rnacentral:rRNA from 1 species
UGGGGAAUAUUGGACAAUGGGCGAAAGCCUGAUCCAGCCAUGCCGCGUGUGUGAAGAAGGUCUUCGGAUUGUAAAGCACUUUAAGUUGGGAGGAAGGGCAGUAAGCGAAUACCUUGCUGUUUUGACGUUACCGACAGAAUAAGCACCGGCUAACUCUGUGCCAGCAGCCGCGGUAAUACAGGGGGUGCAAGCGUUAAUCGGAAUUACUGGGCGUAAAGCGCGCGUAGGUGGUUCGUUAAGUUGAAUGUGAAAGCCCCGGGCUCAACCUAGGAACUGCCUCCAAAACUGGCGAGCUAGAGUAGGGCAGAGGGUGGUGGAAUUUCCUGUGUAGCGGUGAAAUGCGUAGAUAUAGGAAGGAACACCAGUGGCGAAGGCGACCACCUGGGCUCAUACUGACACUGAGGUGCGAAAGCGUGGGGAGCAAACAGG